AUGGAGCACAGCUGCUGUGCCCACACCAUGGCCGUGCUGCACACCCGGUGCUGCUCCACACUCAGGCACAGCUCCAUGUCUGCAUCCCUGCCCACCUCCUCUGCUGUGACAGGGACCCCAAACAACGUUCAGAGCAUCCCCGGAGCUCUGCGGGGUGCAAUGGGGGCACAUUGUCCUGCAGCGUCUCCCGGGAGCUGCUGGGAACGUGGCAUCCAGCGCAGCGCCCAGCCCGGCUGUUUUGCAACCGGUGCAGGCGGUUCCCGGCACGCCCGGCUGACAGCGAUGGGAACGGGCCGGGACGGAACCACCGCGCUGCUCCCCGCCCGGCGCUGGGCAAGUCACGGCAGGGCAGCACGGCCCCGAAAUGGGCUCCAUGGGAGUGCGGAUGGAGCCCCCCCCCAACCAGCCCUCGGGGGUCCGCUGUGCAGCCCCCGCCCCAGGCUGCGAGGCAAUGGGCUCAGCGUGGGGCCACGGCUUGAGCUGAAGCUGCUGCUGGUUAGGAUGCAGCUGGGGUCUGAAAAACAAAGGUUGAGAUCCACAUGGAGCCCGUCCUGGAGCAGGGCAAUGCAGUGCACAGGCAGGGUCAGCACGCUGUGGUGCUGCUGGCCAUGGGGAGCAGCCGACCUCAGCCCCAUGGGCUUCACCCAAACCUGCUGCCACCUCAGGGGGGUCCUGGUGAGACUUGUCAUGGGGCUGAGAGUUGUGGAAAGGCAGCAGUUUGUCUUGGUGUGUCUGUCCGGGGCAGCCUGUUGGCAGAGCUGUGACCAUGGCAGACGUGCUGCUCAGGGUGACAGCAAUCCCCAACUGGGGCCUGAUACAGGCAGCAGCUCCAGUGCCAGCAGAAGGGCAGCAGGAGAUGUGGGGCCUGCAGGGAUGGCAGCGUUCUGCAGGCAGACGGGCACUUUGCUCACGGAUUUCCCCCAGCCCAAAGCAGGGCCGGUAUCGGGGCUUUGGCCAACCUGCACACAGCCCAUGAAAGUUCCCUGUUUCCCUUCCAGGCCGGCUCAGAUGAGGGCCCCGUGGGACGGGCAGAGCAUGUGGCUGCUGUUGUACCCCUGA
rnacentral:lncRNA from 1 species